AUGCUAAAUAAAAGGGGCCUGCAGGUGUGGUGAAACUAUCAGUCUAGCUUCACUGGUUGUAUAGGUACAUCCUAUCUUAACUAAAUACAAUUUUUCUCCACUUAUGUGUCAAUGAAAAGUAAAAUUUUACCAUACGAGUCGGUUCGCACUGUAAUAGUCAGAUUGGAUAAAAACCUUUGUGUGAAGGGCAGUCGUCAAGGAAACGCAGGAAAUCACUUAGAACUCAAAGUUCUCACGCAAAUACAUCACGUCCCUUAGAAAAAAAGAAGGCAAUCAAAAAGAAAUGGUUCAAGAACACGAAACCUCACAAACGAGAAAUUUGAGCUGCAAUAAUGCUCACGCUUGGGACAACACAGCCAGAAAAACGGGAUUCCAAGCGAUCCAAAGCAAAGAGCAAGAAAAGAAGAUGGCGGAGAAAAGGAGAGAGAACCCUUGGGGGCCUACAUUUAAGGAUAGAAAUCACUUCAACAACUUACAUCAUUGUUAAUUUAUAAUACUAACGACCUAAUUAUUUAUUUAUGCAUUGAUAGAUACAUUUUAAAUAAACUACCUACAUCUAUAA